rnacentral:lncRNA from 1 species
AGAAAUUAUGACUUAACCUUAGACUUGAAAUUUAGGAAAUAUGAGAUUUGACCUAUUGGUUGGAAUCAAGAUUUAGGAACUUGAUUAUAAAUUGAGUGAGUUUUUGGGUCUAGUCUAACCUAUAGUAAAAUGGGUGUUACUAGUUUCAAAAUCUUAUUGUGAUUAUGUACUUGAUUAGAUUUGCAUUGAUUUGGAAGCUCAACGAAAGGGAAAGGCUCAAGUCCCGGAGUGAUUGUUCGAUUACUUGAGGCAAGUGGAUUUCUAAACCCUUGUUAAGUGUAUGGAAUUCAUGUAUUUCCUUGUAAUAUGUGUUUAGGGUAAUGAGACUUGGUGAUGGGUU